GAUGAACGCUAGCGGCAGGCCUAACACAUGCAAGCCGAGGGGCAGCACAGAAACAGCAAUGUUUUGGUGGCGACCGGCGGACGGGUGCGUAACGCGUAUGCAACCUACCUUUAACAGGGGGAUGACGGAGAGAAAUUUCCACUAAUACCCCAUAACAUCGAUCAAGGCAUCUUGAUUGGUUGAAAACUCCGGUGGUUAAAGAUGGGCAUGCGUUGCAUUAGGUAGUUGGUGAGGUAAUGGCUCACCAAGCCUACGAUACAUAGGGGGACUGAGAGGUUAGCCCCCCACACUGGUACUGAGACACGGACCAGACUCCUACGGGAGGCAGCAGUGAGGAAUAUUGGUCAAUGGGGGCAACCCUGAACCAGCCAUGCCGCGUGCAGGAAGACGGCUCUAUGAGUUGUAAACUGCUUUUAAACAGGGAUAAAGCACAGUAUGUAUACUGUGUUGAAGGUACUGUAAGAAUAAGGAUCGGCUAACUCCGUGCCAGCCGCCGCGGUAA
rnacentral:rRNA from 1 species